ACAUGCAGAGAACUUUCCAGAGAUGGAUUGGUGCCUUCGGGAACGUCUGACACAGGUGCUGCAUGACUGUCGUCAGCUCGUGUCGUGAGAUGUUGGGUUAAGUCCGUAACGAGCGCAACCCUUGUCCUUAGUUACCAGCACGUUAUGGUGGGCACUCUAAGGAGACUGCCGGUGACAAACCGGAGGAAGGUGGGGAUGACGUCAAGUCAUCAUGGCCCUUACGGCCUGGGCUACACACGUGCUACAAUGGUCGGUACAAAGGGUUGCCAAGCCGCGAGGUGGAGCUAAUCCCAUAAAACCGAUCGUAGUCCGGAUCGCAGUCUGCAACUCGACUGCGUGAAGUCGGAAUCGCUAGUAAUCGUGAAUCAGAAUGUCACGGUGAAUACGUUCCCGGGCCUU
rnacentral:rRNA from 1 species